ACAGCAGAAACCUGAGCCACAGCAGUGACAACACCAGAUCCUUACUACUGCACCACAAGGGAACUCAAGUUACCUCUUUUUUAAAGAAUUCUGCCUCUUUAAAAAAAAAUGAGAAAACAGAGACUUCUAGCACAAAAAGACCAAACAAGUUCCUCCAAACUGAAUGAGGGCCAGUGAUCAGAAUCUGUGCCCUCCCAACACCAAUAUCAACAUAGAGCCCACUGCUUCCCCCACAUCCCACUGCCAGCUUUCCAGUGCACCCUUUAACUUCAAAGUGAAGAAUGACAAAGCCAUUUACAAUGUUCUUUUCUCAGUUAUCAUUCAGUGUGAAGAAGAGGAGAAAAUAAAAUUUUUGCAAGAAGUAAAAAGGAUCUGCCUAUGGACACCCUGAAAAUCAAUGAUGAAGCCAGAACAACUGCAAACAAGCCUGCCUCAAGGGCCAGGGCUCUGUGCCCUGAACUCAUUCUCACCUACCCAGGAGACAAUCACUGUCUUUAAGGUUUGUGGGUUCCCACUUAUUUGAGAUGUACAAGGUGAAUAGUGAAACCCUGAUGCUAAAAUUUCCCCCAAUUAUGCCUACGCCCGGCCUUGUCGAGGAACCCUGGGAUCUCAGUACCUUCCCAGCUAGUGUAUUUUUAAAUGCAGGCUUGUUUUUUCUAGGUCAUUGAGGCUAGGCCCCUGAGACCAGAGCUCCCCUCCUACAGAAGCCCUGAGUCACUGCGGGUGCUCCCUGAAUAAUGAGUAAUCAACACCAUGGUAAGUUACUUGGAACAAGGAGGAGCUGUUUGAUGAGUACUACCCCCUUCUUUCAGAAAAGGAGAAAAACUCAUAUAUUCUUUGCACUAUAUUAUUCUCAGUUCUUUGCACUAUAUUAUUCUCACAAGUCUCAGCACUUUUAUCUAGAAAUUUGAGCAGAUGCAUUGAUUUAAUCAACCACACAUAGGGAGCUCCCAUGUGUGCAGCAGAAAUAAAUCUGACUAGUAUCCAUGAGGAUGAGGGUUCAAUCCCUGGCUUCGAUCAGUGGGAUCAGUGACUUGCAUUGCCAUGAGCUGCGUGUAGGUCAAAGAUGCAGCUCAGAUCCAGCAUUGCCAUGGUUGUGGCAUAGGCCAGCAGCUGCAGCUCCACUUCAACCCUAGCCUGGGAAUUUCUAUGUGUUUUGGGUAUAGCACUAAAAGCAAAAAAAAAAAAAAAAAAAAAGUACACAGAGAAACAAUAAACACUUAGUCCAGUUCUUGAUUUUUUUUUUUCCCUAUAGGGUAAACAGACAGUCACCCAGAAAUUCUAAUGGCAAAACCCACUUCCCCAGUCCUGGAUCUUUCUACCAUGUAAACCCCAUGGCAAGAGUGAGUAACACCAUAGCACGGUUUGCUGGACCAUCUCAGAUAAUGUAUGUUGUCCCAGUGUAGUUACCAACAGCACCUCUGUUACUCUCAAAAGUGUCCCAGAGAAGCCAAUAAAUGUCACGGGCAUAUCACCUAAGGACUGUGUCCACCAGGCUUCUAACUAAGAGAGAAAAAGCCAAAGUGGGAAGUCACAAGUGUUUAGAGCAUUAGCCCGGGACUAAGUGUUCAGAAAAACCCAAGAGCCAAGCCUUGUAUUGCUGUGCAAGCUCCUCAGAUUUCAGAGAUAUCCACAAUCUAAAAUAGGGAACCAUUACUGAUCCAGUUUAUGGCCCCUGGGCAGCCAUCAUGGGAGCCCAUCAGCUGGCCGCUCCCCCUUCUCUCCUUCUCACUGCACCUACCAUUCCCAUGAAACCCAAACCUUUCCAAAUGAGUUUGGCUCUUGUUUUAGUUUUAGUACUACCUCCCUGAGGCCUCUCACUUUGGCAAGAUUCUAUAGGUUGUCGUGUUUCAGGAGUGUAAUGAUAAGAAUCAUGGCGGGGGUGGGAGGAGCAGAGAAAGAGGAGGAGGUGGGGGAGGGGCAGGGGAAGAAAAGCAAGGGGAGGAGGAGCAGGAAGAGGAGGAGGAGGAGGAAGUAUUGUUAACAGCAGGACCGCUGGGACCAUCAGCAUGGAAUGAUUCAGUUUAAGCAACAAAGGCUGUUUGUUUCCUGAGCUCUCAACUGAGCAGCAUUGGCUGCAACGGAAGAAAGGGAUCUCUAGGGAAAGGCGGAGGCGGGGUGUUCAGCUGCCUCCCUUCACCACAGGCUGUCAUCAGAGCUGGGUCAGUCCCCUCCAGAAGGAGGCCCUGAGGAGACCUGUGAGGUUGCAGGUGUCUGGGUGAUUCCACCCGGGGUCACUCUCUUCCUCUGACCUCUCCCUGGAGACGCACCUCCUGGAGAUCCCCACUUCUCUCCUGGAACAUGAAAUAAGGUUCAGGCCACCUGGAUAUUAGGAAUCCAGCAGUGACUUGCAGCAGGUGAGAAAGUAGUAAGAAGAGCUGGGUUUUUAAUACAGGCCCCAGCUCCCCCUCCUUUCCCAGGUGAAGCCCAGCCAUGGUCCUCUCUCUGCACCUUCCUGAAAAUGAACAGAGCUCAGCUGAGAAAGGAGUUAGUUUCUCCACUGGCCGGCUUGUGAGAUGGGGGACAAUACAAACAGAGCCCUCUCACCACGUCUCUGGGUGCCCAAUGGCAGCUCUCAUUAGUUUAUGAAAGGGAGGCUCCGUAUUUGAUUGUAAAGAAGUCUGAUUUCUUCAGAAAGAAGUAAUGUCUUCCUAGAAAGAAGACGCAUUACUACUCAGCCACGGGAAGCCUAGAGUACUAAUUGUUUGUUCCUUGAGGUGUUUGAAGGAACAGUAUACCCUGGUCACCGGAGAGCUUUCCUAGCAAUUCAGUUCCCAAAGUCAGCACAUCUCAAUUUACGAAAUAGUCUCUAGAACCGGAGGUUGGAAAAUGAUCAUGUGGUGCUGGCCUCUCCCACACACACCAACAGCCACAAGGAAAAGUACAUGACAAACACCAUGUGCAGGCCCAGAGGGGAAGAUGAUGUCUUGUCGAUGUGAACAGGCAGAUUCUCCCUAAAGAAGCGCAGACUCGAGGUGACAGGUUGACCUGCCUUACACUUGAGAAAUCUAAGACAAGCAACCUCUCUCAGAGCCAGAGGAAGCAGAGAACUUUCACUUCCCUUCGCUCUCCCUGCCACCUCCUCUCACUCAGUUUGAGAUCAAGUACGUUCAAUCCCAAAACUGAGCGUGACACUGCAGCACGGACUUUCAGAACCCCUCCCCCCAGCUUUCCGGCUGGCAGAACAGAUCCUGAGCUGCCCUCUCUGGAGCACCAUUCGUUACUGCACUGAACAGGCUGGGA
rnacentral:lncRNA from 1 species